AAAAAACUUGGGCCACACUGGAGAUUCGAUUGGCCGACCAUCGCUAUCCCCUUUUGAGUUUUCUAGAUUCAUAUCGCAACGAAGUACAAAACUUUGAAGCAGAUAUCAAAGAAUGUGAGAUGCAGUUAACGUAACAAACAACCAUGAUCUGAUCAAUAUUGCUAUGAUCUUGGUUGACUAAUAGGGAACAUUAUAUGUUUAUAAUUCUUUCUUCGGCCUUAUAUGGUUAAACAUCAAGGGGAAAUUGAUCACAUCUUAUUGUAGAUGAGAGUUAAUGCUAGGAA